rnacentral:rRNA from 1 species
UUUUUUUUUAGUUAAAAAACUAAAAUAAUUUUAAGGGACGAGAAGACCCUAUAGAAUUUUAUAUUAAUAAAUUUUAAUUUUAUUAAAAAUUUAAUUUUAUAAUUUAAAUAUAUUUUAUUGGGGUGAUAAUUAAAUUUAAUUAACUUUAAAUUUUAAUUUCAUUAAUUUUUGUUUUAUUGAUCUUUUUUUAUUGAUUAAAAAUUUUAAUUACCUUAGGGAUAACAGCAUAAUUUUAUUAAAAAGUUCUUAUUUUUAAUAUUGUUUAUGACCUCGAUGUUGAAUUAAAUAAAAUUAUUAUAUGAAGAUAUAUAAUAAAUAAGUCUGUUCGAYUUUUAAUUAUUUACA